rnacentral:miRNA from 1 species
CCAUCCUGCUGGCUGUCUUGGCUUCCUCUUUAGCCGCGCGCAACCUCUCCAGCCGGGAGAGCUGCACGCGGCUUUGGCAGAAGCCAAGACAGCCAGCGGGAUGG